rnacentral:rRNA from 1 species
UACGUAGGGUGCAAGCGUUGUCCGGAAUCAUUGGGCGUAAAGCGCGUGUAGGCGGUUCGGUAAGUCGGCUGUGAAAGUCCAGGGCUCAACCCUGGGAUGCCGGUCGAUACUGCCGGACUAGAGUUCGGAAGAGGCGAGUGGAAUUCCCGGUGUAGCGGUGAAAUGCGCAGAUAUCGGGAGGAACACCAAUGGCGAAGGCAGCUCGCUGGGACGUUACUGACGCUGAGACGGCGAAAGCGUGGGGAGCGAACAGG